rnacentral:lncRNA from 1 species
AUUAUUAUAAUUCUUUGAUGUAUAAAUGGAAUAACUUUAUAUAUAAUUCCAUGAUAGGAAAAUUAAAGAAAAAAUGAAAUAAAGACGUAUUACAUCUAAUGAUAUCGACUAGAGAGUGGAGAAGGUAAAACAAUGUUGGUUAUUGCUACUGUGGUGGCAUGAUGAGCAGCUGGCAUUGGGUGCUAUUGUGACUGCAUGUAAGUGAAGGACAACCAACAAGGAGUGAGCGGUAGCCGGCAAGUGCCGCUUUUUGCUAAUGGAGGCUGGACCACUGAAGUCGUCAUAGAGGAGGUGGGAGAGUGGUGGUGGUUGUUGGAUCAUAUUCAGUGGAGACUAGAGACUUUGGCGUGUGGAGGAUGGCGAUUGAGUUGUGUUUAUCAUUUAGGUUUUUUUUUUAAUAUUGGUAUUACAAUCAAACUAUUAUUGAUAUUAUAUUAGGUUACUAUUUUUUUUUUGAAUUGAAAUUUCAUUAAACUUAAGAUAUUGUCAACAUUUGACAUAACCACGGAGGUGGAACAAGCCUCCACUCUCCAGGAUCUGACAUAGAACCUCCCACCCUAGCAAUUGUAUGGGCAGCGACAUUCGCAUAUCGUCGAACAAAGGAGAAUCUUACUUCUCCAACUAGUUUAACUAAUUCUUGACAGUCCUCAAUAAUUAAACCAAAACCAUUAGGACUAGGAGUUUGAGUAAUUAAAGCAGAGUACACGUUCAAACAAUCUAUUUCGAGAAUAACUUUAGAGAACUGCAGAAUUUUCAGCCAGCUAAGAGCUUCACGAACAGCCAAAGCUUCUGCCUCUCGGGGAUGAACUGAACCAAGAAAGCGUUGACACUUAGCUGCCACAAAAGUACCUCCAGAAUCUCUUAUUAUUAGGUUACUAUUAAUAUUUACAAAUCAGACUAUUACUGAAAUAAGGCUCCGUUUGAUACAACUUUUCAAGUAUAACUUAUUUAAGUAGAUAUUUUGGUAGUA